CUACUGAAGAGGAAAUUUCAAAACUGUCUUCAAAGGCAAGAGAAGGGCGUCGCUGUUGAGGCGCAGGUCUCACAGGGAGACGCCAUUCCAACGGAACCAUUCUAAGCCCUCAGGAGAGAGGAGAGGGCACCAGGGAGUCAAUUCAGCUCAUUGCCCAGAUUCUGGUCUGCUGGGAUUGUGACGGCCUCUGAGAGAACGCUGAGAAAUGUGGAAAUUUAGCCAUCUGAAAAUUGUGCAGAGACAUGCAAACUUCUGGAACUCUUUUGCUGCUGGAGGAGGGGAGAGAAUGUGUGUGCCCCCCUGCCUGACCCUCUGGGUUCGUUGCCAGAACACGAAGCUCUAAGCAAAGCCGUGUGUUUGCAUAUGGCC
ensembl:lncRNA